AGAAAGUUUGAUUCUUGCUUAUUAUCUUUAUUCUUUAGACAAUAACACAUGAAAAAUUUGUUUUUCCAGGGCAGGGUGAGUUAAAUACUUCUCCCGGUUUAUUCUCAGUGUAUAAUAUUUCUCAUUAGUUAGGGCUAGAAGAAGUUAUUUAAAAUUUUCUCUGGCAAAAUUUUGUGCCAGCAGUCGCGGUUAUACUUGGAGAGAAGAUAAAUAAAAUUUGGCCAAUAGUUUUUAUUUUUUUAUGGUCUGCCUGUUUUUAAAAAAGGUGAAGUUAGUCUUUAAAAGGCAAGCUGACUAAACUAAGGUGAUUAAUAAUAAACUAAUAAAAUUAAAAGAUAAACUAGGAUUAGAUACCCUAUUAUAUUUACUUAAAACCCUAUCGUGCCUGAUUAUUAACAGCUAUAAUCUUUAAACUCAAAGAAUUUGGCGGUGAUUUAGUCUUAUUAGGGGAACCUGUUUUUUAAACGAUAAACCACGUAAAAUCUUACCUCUUCUUCCUCGUUUGUAUACCGUCAUUAAGAUAACUUCUAGAGAAUGAGUUAUUGUAAUAAAUAUUUCUUAGUAUAUUAGAUCAAGGUGCAGCAAAUGAAGAGGUUAAAAUGGGUUACAAUAAGACAUGCUUAUACGGAAAGUUUUUAUGAAAAUUAAAAUUAGAAGGUGGACUUAAAAGUAAGGAGAUUUUUAAUAAGGAGUCUUGAAUUUAGCACUAAAUCAUGUACAUAUCGCCCGUCGCUCUUGUUGAGUAAAGACAAGAUAAGUCGUAACAUAGUAGGUGUACUGGAAAGUGCGCCUAGUUGUAUU
rnacentral:ncRNA from 1 species